GCUCAUCUCUGACUGUUCUGAAGCCCUUCUGCAUGAGGCAUAACAUAAUUCAAGCAAGAUGUGGACAUCCACAGGGAGGUAUGCCCAAAGCAGAUCAUUGCUAGAUUUAAGAGGAAAUGCUGCCUUUUAAUCUCAAAGUUUGAGGAAAAAGUGACAUUCCCAUCGUCAUUCAUACCAAAUAAAGAAGAGAAUCUGCACAUUGGCCCAUGGCACCAAUCACUUUGCAUGGUAGGAUUACAGUAACGCUGCCACCUAUUUGAUCACAGAAAUGGAUGGCUUUCGAGUGCAGC
rnacentral:lncRNA from 1 species